AAUUUAAAAAAUUAAAUUUUUUUUAAAAGGGAAAAAAAAAAAAACAAACCCUACAGAUUUCUAGCUCUUUCUGUUGCAAGGAAAAGUUGGAAAAUGAGACUUCAUAAAGACCUGAACAUUUUAGAAACCCCUGAAACAAAUACUAUUAUUUGGAGAUAUUUCAUUUAAAAAUUAAUCUGGGAAAUCUGAUUCCUUGUUUGUUAAUCCGCAAGAAUGGUAAUGAUGAGAUAUACACAGAGGGUCCCUAAGCCAGGUCAAUGGGACACCGGGAGAGAUGCAGAAGGUAUUUUGGUCCUUUCUCUGCAAGAAUAUCUCUUGUAAGUCAGUAAAAAUUGCCAGUGGGAAGACAGUUGCUGUGACUUGCCUUCUUUAUGUUUUAUUUUCCUUUCAGAGCAGCAAAAAAGUAUGCAUGGUAGGCCUGUGUGAGCUGCAGAGCUUGCAUCAUUUGUGUAAGCAGUGUAGCCCUAGCUGGAGACUAGCUGGAACACAGCUAACACACCAGGAGAGGGCUGCAAAGGGACAUAAGUCACGAUCAAUUUAUUGCCAACCAGCAGAACUACAAACACACCAAACUCAAAGACAAGAAACUCUUGGUCUCUUGGAUACCAGAUGCCAGGGUAACAAGAAGAGUGAAAUGGAAAUUCCCAUGGAUAAGGGGAAAUGUGAUUUAAUUGGCAACACUAAAAUUAAAAAAGAAUAAUUCUUAUGAUUGGACUGGUAAAAUCAUUGGGAUAGCUCUGAGGAAUAAAAGGUGUCAGUGGGUGAUCUGGUGUGCUACGUGAAAGAGAAAGCAUUUCUUGUGGAGUAAAUGAGGACACUGAGCAGCAGGUUCUGUACAUAUUGUUUUAUGAAUCUAUGUGUUAAGGAAGGUCUACACAGUCUAGUAACAGAGUGUGUGACAGACCAUUAAAACAGUCUGGUUAAGAGGAUGAGUCCAUCCCCCAUAAUGAGAAAAAUGGAGGAGCUCCUCAUAAUGGAGGAGCUUUGGUUGGACAGAGGAGUUUUAGUUGGAUGGGAGACCACAAGCAGCCAAUGGCAAACAUGAUUAGAGAAGUUUACAGGUACAGAGGAUAAUCGCCCAGCAGAAACUCCAGCAGAGAAUUUACACAAGUGGGGCUUGUUUGAGCUGAAUUGAUGGACUAAAGGGAUGAACUGAUGCCUGUGGUAAGAGCUGUUGCCUAUUACUAGUUGUCAAACUGAGUUAAGACUACUUCGGGCACCACUGUCUCUUUGUUAGAAGUACCUCCAGAUGAAUUCUGAAAUUAUUAAAGAUCACCACUUGGUUUCAACAGUAAUCAAGAGUACAAAUCAAGUUUUUGAUUAAAUCAAAGCAUUUGUUUAUUUUGUUUUAUCUUAACUAACUUUGUCAAAAUAUGGCUGCCCUUCUGGAACAGUCUUUAAAGGAGAACCACCUGAGCCUGUACUAUGUGUCCCAUCAUCAGUUGCACCUUUGUUAAAUCUUUUCAGUAUCACCUGGAGCAUGCAGGCAGUGUGCAUGACCCUGCAGAAAACACUGGAAGACAGAAAUAAAGCAAUAUCCAUUUUUAAAGUGUGGCUACUUGUAAUCAAACCAGAGAGGAAAAAUAUGAGGCAGAGCGCAAAACUCUCAGCAUCAGAUAACACCUAGGGAUCUAGAGGUGCUCCUGGGAGAAAUACCUGGAUCUGACAAACCUGUGACACAUCCCAAAAUCCAUAUGUGCUGUUGAUGCCAAUGUAAGAUGAACAGGGCUUGAAUCUCACCACAUUGACCCUAUAUGCUCCUUUCUGAUACCAGCAGAGAGAGACAGCUGGGACAUGGUUCUGAGCCAUAAUACAAGGAGAAUGUUUUCCAGUCCUGUCAAAGGAUAACCUGAAUCUGUUGCAGUAAAGAGGCUCUUUUACUAAUCUGGAAAGCCCAUAGCACUGUAUCAUACAAUUCACAUACAAUCACUAAAGCCAUAUUCUGUUGGGGUGGUCUCAUAGGUCUCCCAGUCUUGGUUUAUGCAGAGCUAAAAGCUUGAUCCUUAAGCAGCAUUUUAAAGAGAUAAUUACAUGUACUUUUUUUUUCUUUCUGGGUAUAUAUAGUUCUAAAAUAGAUGGGCAUUGCAUUCCUUUUUUUCUUCUUCGGUACAGAUUGCAAAAGAAAAUGGCUAUGCAAACUGUGGAAGUCAUAAACCAGCUUAUCGUAAGCCAUUUGGGAUUGUAUUUUGCCAACUUGUAUUCUUCAGUACCACCUCCAGGCAGAAAUUUGAGAAGAAAGAUUUGUGUUGGGUUUAUUUUGUCACAAGGUAGAUAUGGAUUUUUUUAAACUUACCUAUCUUUUUUCCAUAAUACCCUUCCCUUUAAUGUGCCCAAACUGGAGUUGCCCCAUAAAACAGACGUAUGAAAGUUAAAAGCCAUCAGUAACAGGAAGAGACAGUGAAAAAGAAUUAUCUGCCAGUUACAGGGUUCUGGGGAAUGCUGGAGAAUUUACACAGAAAUUCAGUCAUUAACUCCUUCCUCUGCCAUAAGUGAAUUUGAUGAAGCUCCAAGAAGUAUGUCAAGGUCACGUUUACCCAAUUCUAAUGAAGCAAAGCAAAAGUCACAAUUUGUUAGCUAUCCACUGGGAAUAAAAGUGUAAUUUUUUUUAACAGCUAAGUAAUUAAAAAGGCAAAUGUGUUCCAUAUUGCAAAAGUAUUGCUAUAUUAUAUAAGGGAAUGGUUCAUGACCAUGUUACACUGUUAAUAUGAUCAAAAAUUAUCUGGUCUCCUAAAUUACUAUAUUUCCCUUAGCAGAAUUUUAAUUUCAGGUUGGUAAUUUUAAUUGCACUACUAUCUGACUGCUUAAAAUUUCAUUUCAUGUCUUUUUAAAGUUACUCCUCUUUGAAUUUGUUUUCCUCCUACUCAGGGUUCUGUUUAUUUUAAUUCAGAGUUACUUAUGCCAGAUUGUAUACUGACUCCCCAUGAUUUUUUAAAACAAGCAAUUUUUUAAAACAAGCAAUUUUUUUCAAACACACCAUACUGUGGAAAGAAUCAUUAUAAAUAACAGAAAGAAUUUAAAAUCCAGUCUCCCUUGAAUGGAGGAUCUCUCUGAGAUGCAGCAUUAUCUAAUAGUUUCAAGACACUACAUGUUUUUGCUUAAUUCUGUCACCCUUCUCCACGCUGAUUAAAAAUGUCUUUUGUAAGUAGUGUCACUGAAAUCAGUGCAAGAGGAAAAUAAUCAUUUUUCCUAAUCAUCUGUUUUCCUUAAUGGUGGAACCAUAACAUGGCUACUUUAUCCACUGUGGAAAUACAGUAGGCUACAAUAAUUAUUUAACUUCUCCUUUUCUAUUAGUUUUGCUACAAAACUUACAAAAUAGUUUUACUGCUUUCCCACUAAAGAUAAUAUUUGCAUUGUACUUUUUUUCUUUACCAAAUGUUUGUUUCCUUGAUAACUAAAAACUUUACCACAAACUCCAAAGAAGGACCAGAGAAGCAACUAAGUAGUUAACAAAGAUGAUUAAGCCAGGAGCACUUACCAUCAGCAGCCAUACAAUGGUACCUAAGAUACCACAGUUUUUCUUAAUCAAAUGUAGGUUUUGCGCAGGUAAAAAUGCAGGGAAGGCAGGUGACAAAGAGGAAGAACUGACAGAGAACUGUAAGUAGUGCUAAAGGGGGGAAAUUUGGUACCAAUUUUUCUAAGACAAAAUGUUUCCUGAAUUCCUAGGAAAGCUGAACUGAAAAAUAUGCAGGAGUUUUUGCUGAAGACUUUUACUGAUCUCUUAUUUAUUAUUGUUAAUGAGGCACUCACUGGGUACCCACCGUGUGCAUACCCAUGUGCAGGACACAGCAAAGGCAACAGCAAUGUAUCUUUCUAGCUGGUGAUGUGACCUGCCAUUCUGCAUCCUUAACCUUUUGACAUCUCAGUUAACUGAGUACCUUCCUUAGUAAAACAGACACCUGAGGGACUCGCAUUCACUGUAACCACCUCUGGCCUUGCUGUAGCACACUCUAAUGCAACCCUGAGCAAAGCGCUUCAGGAAUCACAUGGAGGAUGCUAUGAUGCCCCCUUUUAACCAUGCCAGCAUCUUCUAGCAGAUAUUUCCUCAGAAUAAAAAAUCUCACUUGAGUAAAGACGAAUUAAAAUCACUAAAGACAGAAGUAUUUAAGUAAAUGGUCAUAAAUUAAUCUUGUAUUUUUACCAGGAACAGUAAUGACUGGAAUGCUGUGUAUGGUGUCUUUGUUACUCAAUCUCCAUUUCAAUAGGCACAAAAAGUGAGAAUGAAAGUUGGAGAAAAAUGAACACAAAAUUAUUCUCUCCUAGAACAUAGCUGACUUUUCCUUGUGGCUGAAUCCUUAUGUAAGGAGCAAAGAUGAUUUUUUUAACUUUCUGUGAAGUAUAUUUGCAUUUGAAGCUGUUUUCAAGACAAAAUAAAUAAGAACGGUUUAAAUAAUAGCAGUUAAACACACAAAAUGGCACUGAUAUUCUUUAGUAUAUGAUUCUAAUUCAUAAAGGAAACUGAUGAAUUCACAGAUUUUGUUGAAAUUUAACAUGUGUUUAAAUACUAUCAGCACUGUGUACUUCCAGAUAAUUACAUGAGUCAUUCUGAUACCAGCAACUGAAAUCACUAAUGACAAUCACAAUAUACCAUCUACCAGACAUUGUAGGAGAGAUGUGUGUUCCUUAAGAAUCAAGGAAAAGGUACAGGUGUUGCUUUUUCAACAGGAUAUUGGAUAUACAAUAGUUUCCAGUUAAAUCAUAGUCUCAGUGAUUUGUCUUUCUGUAGCAUUUCUUAAAAAAAAAAGGUAUAAAUGAAAGGUUUUACUGGCACAGAAGAGAUAAUAAAAAUGCAUACUGAUUUAAAACUUCAAAGGUACAGGUGAAAUCAAUUCACCUCAGGAACGGCAAGAUCUGCAAGAGCAGCUUUGAUUACUGUUUUGAGAGGUAGUAAUAAUUGCAAGAUUUGGCUAACUGUAAAGAGAUAAAAUAACUCCAUAAUGAGUUUACCAUUAUUAAAUACUCAUUGAAGAAGUAAACAAAUUUUUCUCUUUAAGAACAAGUUUAAAUUGUAUACACUAGAUAUCACAGUAUUUGGAACUCUUAAAUGACAAACGGAGGAUUAAACGUAUCCAUAAAACAUUGUUUUUAUUAAUUCAGAUGCACUUAAUGCAUCUUGGUCCUCUGAUUUCAUUUGAAGGAACUGAAUAGCAGAAAUAUCACAUAGUCUGGGGGAGUCUACAGUAAUGUACAGACCUUCAGAACAAACUAUUCAACACAACUUUUACAAAGAAUAUGAGCAAGAAUAUAUUUGCUUUGCAGCCCUAUAUCUGAGUAAGCUACAAUACCUCGUCUACUAGCUACCCACAUUUUCCUAUUUCAAUAGAAAAGGAAAGGUCUGAUAUUAUUGCAAGGUCAUGAUUGUGAGGAACCUUUUUGUUUGUUUUAGUUUUAACUACUGUAAAAAAAUGUGACUGAACCAGUAGGUAAAAAAUGUAAUUGAAUGAUCAGACCUGAAGCUUCCACAAAGUAUAUUCAUUAUUAAAAUUGCUGCUUAUUGCAACAGAUGGGGAACUGAUGCUGAAACCCUUCACAGCCUUUGAACCUCAGGAAUUCUGAAACUUUUGAACAGACAUAGCUCCAUUCUCUACCUUGUUUGUUGCAAGGUGAAUGUUAGAAUCCUAAACAAAGUGUCUUUGGUAUUUUGUGUACACAAAAUUAUAUACCGCUCUUGAUUGUGUGCUUUCAGAGGCCCCUGAGAAGGUGGUUAAUCUUUAUUAAAGCUCUUGAGCAUUAGUGGCUAAUGGAGGCUGGUGAGUAUUGCAGAGUAGUUAUUAACCUCAUUGGGAUCCAGUAACAAGAUUUUCACAGUAUCUGCUUCUUAUAGGGAGUUCUUCUCUAAGAAAGUACAUUAUUAAUAGGCAAAACUCUACAAAGGGCCAUAGUAUUUGAAGGCAGGAGAGUGUGUUGGCAUCAUCCAGUCCUUAUGACAGACAGGGAGAAUUCCAAAACCAUAUGCUUUCAGCUGCAAAAUGCCUACUUCUGUGUAAAAGUGCCUCAUAAAAUUAAAAUUAUCUUCCUGCAGAACUCAAAGUCAUUUGCAAGUCUGCUACUUUUAAACAAGCUCAGAAGUAAGAUUAAUGGAGUAAUGACAUUAACUCUGCUCCAAAGCAGCUCUAUAUUCUGGCUCUUCCAGCAGGUUCUGAAUUUCCAUGACUCCUAUGCAAACAUAUAUUCACAGGAUUCAAAUCAAAACUGUUUAUCAUCUUCUUCAUAGUAAACACUAGUUCUCUCUUGCAGCAUUGUUCUUUUUGUGACAUCUGGAGAUUAGAAAAAGUCAAACAUCAUUUAAAAAAGAACAACUAAAUGCUUAGCUUCACUCUUUUUUCACUGUUUCUUCAAUUACUUCAUGUCACUUACCCUAAUGAAUUAAAACAUAUACUAAAAAAUAUCUCAGAAAAAUGAUAUUUUCAUGUUGUGUCACAAGAUUUUUGCUAUUAACCUUGUUCUAAUUACCAAAAUUACACAUUGCAGACAGAGAUGCUCCACAAUGUCCAGAGAUGAUUCUAAAGAGAGGCACAACUCCCUUGUACAGUGCACUCAUGUGAUCUAUUAUCAUUCCUUUGGUAAUAAAGAAUCAGUGGUAAAUCAAUUAAAAGUGCUAAAGUUAUUGGCAGACUAAAAAAAUAAAUACUGACAAAUGUGGUCAAUUGAGAACCUCUUUUUUAGUAUCAAAGCAAGAGACAUAGUUUAAGGGAGGUCUAACCAAGGGUUGAAAACUGCUACAGAAAUAGCCAAGGGCAAAGUCAUUCCAUCAGUGCAGCCCACAGGGAUGUUAAUUCUCACUCUUUUAAGAAACCAGUAAGGGAUAUACCAAAAAUGUGCUGCAAUGUUUAACAGAGUAAUGAACAAUGUAAAUGCAGACUUCUGAAAUGUAACAUGUUUACAUUUCCUAUAUAUAUAUAUAUAUGUCACUUGCUGUAUUUUUCAUUGCAGGGAUGGUAGAAUAUCAGUAACAUAGAUAAUUUUAUUUUUUUAUACUGGGUUUGCAUGAGAAGCUCACAAUACCUGAAAAAAAAGCUAUGAAAAAAUAUAAUUCAAGCUGUAUUAUCCAGGACUCUAUGUAGCUUUCCAAAGUGGUCUAAACAGGGCAAUACAGACCCAGAGAUGGAUUGUUAUUUCUUUUCUCUGACUGACACAAAUAGCUUGCAGUGGGAAGGAAAUUGUAUUGUGAAUCACACACCAUCAAAUGACUGUGGCAUACAAUGGGCUCCAUAUAUCACCACCAAUAUUUAAAACAAACAGAUUUCAUAAUAUUAUCAGCCCAUCAGGAAGUGAUUCACCCUCAGAAAGUUUUAAUUUUCAUUUUGAAAACCCUGCCAAAAGGGCUUUGUCUUUCUCUUCCAUUGCAGCAGACUCAGCUGCCUGCAAUGUAUUACACAACGGUUUCACUUAAAGCCAACAACGGAGCUUUGUUAUCAGAGCUAUAUUCAGAAACACUACUUCAGCCUAAAAUUGAGUGAAAAUCUAUUUUCACCUGUUAUACUGAGUGCAUUUGCUCCUUCACUGGGGUAAGACUAUCAGAGGCACAUACAGCUUAAACAUAAUAUUGAUUUUUAGAAAUUAAAGCCAGUUUCACAUAGCUCAGGGCUUCAAUGAGUCAUAAAACUCCAUCAACAGUUAGUUCAGACUUUUUUUGUUCCAGGAAGAUAUGGAUGAGUUCAUGUGAACUGACAGAUGGAAAUUUAUUCAGUGUGAGAACUUCUAAAAGAAUUUUUGAAGUACAACUUAGCAGAGAGAGGUUGAUUUUAACUAACCUACAACCAGCUGAGUACAGAGACCAAUUUGUAGAGAAAUGAGGUCAUUGCAUUAGGGAAGUCUGAGACUCAACCUGCAGAUGUUCAUACUGAAUGCUUAACUGAACCUCUGGAGCUGUGCUUUAACCAUGAAUUUUUGGGGUUUUUUUCUUAUGACAUAACCAUCUCAUAGUAAUACAGAAAAUGCUCAGAUCGCAAUCUCCAGUUCAAUAAUUUUUUAUCUUUCUUGUUUCAGGAUAUCUAAAGAUGCUAAGGUGAAAACCUCAUUUUAAAAUGAAAGGGGAAAAAAUCAGCUUACAGAAAUAAAACCAUACAUUUCUUAAGAAAAAGUAUCUUGAAUUUGUUCACAGUGUUUCUGUCAUGACCCAAUGCUUUCCUUUAGCAGAUAUUCCACUACAUACAACUAUCUAAAAAAAGCCAUUCAAUUUUCUCAAAAAAAGUAUAUAUCAGAUCACGCUCAAACUCAGAUGUGUUCAGAUUUGGAAGAUGUCUGUUCCCUAAUAUAUCAGUAAGUAGAAGCUAUAAAUACUACCACCAAAAUAUUUAUUACUCAGACAGAGGCCACUGAGUCUCAGUGUCCCACUCUAUAUCAAGAAAUUAUCAGGUAUUCUGAAAACAGUGAAAUGCACAAAGCUAUCCAGCAAAGAGCAAAGAAGAACCCCUAAAUAUUUUUUUUUCUAUAAUUCUUUGUAGCUGUUUGCCUCCUGUCCAAGUUGUGAGCAGCCAUGAGUUCCUCCAGGAGAAUGUUCUGGGAAAUGGUGUUAAAAGCUUGACUAAAGUCUAGGUAGGCAACAUCCAUGGCCUUUCCCUCAUCCACUAAGCAGGUCACCUUGUCAAAGAAGGAGAUCAAGUAAGUAAAGAAGGAUCUGUCUUUCAUGAACUCACGCUGGCUGUCCCUGAUCCCCUGGUUAUCCUGUCCACCCCACGUGAUGGCACUCAGAAUGAUUUAUUCAUGAUGGCACUCAGCACCAAGGUCAGGCUGACAGCCUGUAGUUCUUUGGGAUUCUUCCAACCCACCUUAUGGAUGGAUGUCACACUGCCUAACCUCCAAUCACUCGGAACUCCCUAGUUAACCAGGAUUGCUUUUCAGUGAUGGAAAGUGGCCCAGAACUUCCUGUCAGCUUCCUCAGUACCUUUAGGUGGAUGCAGCCCCACAGACUUCUGUGUGCUUAGGUGGUGUAGCAGGUCACUGACCAUUUUCACUUGGAUCAUGGGGGCUUCCUUCUUCUCCCCAUCCCUGUCUUCCAGCUCAGAGGCCUGGUAUCCAGCUCUUACUAUUAAAGACGGAGGCAAAGAAGGCAGUAAGUAAUCCCAGUCUUUUUCCCAUCCUUUGUUACUGUGUUUCCCCCCAAAUUCAAUCAGAGAUACUCUUUAGUAAUCCUUCUGUUGCUGAUGUAUUUAUUAUUUAUUAAUAAGACAUUAUUUAUUGUCUUUUACAGCUGUGGCCAGAUUAAGUUCUAGUUGGGCUUUGACCGUUCUAUUUUUCUUCCCACAUAACCUCAUGAAACUUUGUAGUCCUCAUGAUUUUCCUGCCUCUUCUCCCAAAGGUCACAAACUCUCUUUUUGUCCCUGAGUUUCAUCCAAAGCACUCUGUUCAGCAUGAUUUCUGCCCAACCCUCACUUUUAAUUCUUCUACCUUUCAAAUAGAGACCAUCCACAAGACCUUAAAAAUUAAAAACAAGACUCUGUGGAAGGUGCUCCAUGUGUGUGAAAACAUCUAGAAGUCCCCUAGGUCAUUUCUGCAAAGCACAUUGGGUACAAGAGUGAGGAGACAGGGAGAAAAAGACUUAUGAUACACUCCAUAAAACACGGCAACAGCUUUGUCCUAGGGGAGCACUGCAAGCAGCAAGAAGUUUGGUCAAUCUGGUAAUCAUGCUGGAAUGACUGCUCCUGGACAGCUGUGUCGUAUAAUGGACAUUGGGCUAAGGUUUUCCCAGCUAACACUCAGGACAGAAAUAGCAGCAUUCACUGUGACAACACGUAGCUCCUAGCCUACUUGGUAAGGCAGAAAAAAUAAGUGUUUGGGAGUGGAAUAAGUUCUGUGACAAGACAAACAGGAGAUUUGUCAUCCGCUCAGUCCAGAGUCUGUUCAAGCAUUUGGCUUUCCUUCCUUUCCUCCAGGAGGUAAGGCAAACCAGUCCCCACAGACACCAGAUUUGGCUCCCACAGACCAGGAAGCAGAAAUCCCUCAGAUCAUGAAGCUGAUUUGACUCAGUCAACUCAAGGAUCUCCCCCAUACAAAAAGGAUGAAUGUACUCCUCCCUCACCAGCACAUCAAGUAUUUCCAGAACCCAGAUCCUAACUGAAAAACAUCAAGUCAUUCCAGUCUGUUCUUACCAUACCAUGAGCAUCUGGUAUAUUUUCUUCCUUUCUUCUUCCAUAAUUGUUAUCUCUGCAAUAAAGAUAACAAUCUUUAUUACAGAGAUGGACUGAGCUGAGAUUAGGAAUUGUAUUGGGUUUGUGUGUCCUGGUUUUGGCACCAAGGGGGUUACAGGGGCGGCUUCUGUGAGAAGAUGCCAGAGGUUUCAUUCAUGUGCAGCAGAGUCAAUCUCAGUCUGUUCCAAGAAGGAAACACCACUGACCAAGGCUGGGUCAAUCAGAAACAGUGAUAACACCUCUGUGAUGACAUAUCUAAGAAGAAAGAAGAAAGUUAUUGUGUAGAUAUAAUUGUGGCCUGGGAAGAACAGACUGAGUACAUGUGAGAGGAGCAGCUCUGAAGAUACCAAGGCCAAAUGCAGAAGGAGAGGGAGGAGGUGCUCCAGGUGUCAGAGCUGAGAUUCCCUGCAGCCCAUAGUGAGGCAGCUGUGCCCCUGUAGCCAUGGAGGGCCACAGGGGUGCAGAGAUCCACCUGCAGCCUGGGGAGGAGCCCCACACUAGAGCAGGUGGAUGCCUGAAAGGAGGUUGUGACUCUGUGGGAUGCCCAUGCUGGAGCAGGUUUCCCAUCAGGGCUUGUGACCCCAUGGGGUGCCCAGAUUGGAGCAGCGUGUCCUUGAAGGACUGCACCCCAUGGAAGAGUCACCCACUCUACAGCUGUUUGCAGGGAAUUGUCUCUUGUGGGAUGGACUCAAAUUGGAGAAGUUCAUGAAGAUUGUCUUCCAUGAGAAGCACCCCACAAAGGAGCAGAGGAAAGACUCCUCUCCCUGAGCAGCAGCAGAAACAAUCUGUGACAAACUAGGGUUGUAACCCCCUAUUCCCUGUCUCCCUGCACCUCUGGGAGAGGAGAUAGAGCUGGGAAGGAGGGAGGGUGAUGGGAAGACUUUUUUUAGAUCUGUUUUUGCUUCUUAUUAUCUGGCUCUGAUUUUGUUAGUAAUGCAUUCAAUUAAUAUAUCUGAUUCUAGUCUGUUUUGCCCCUGACAGUAUUUAAUGAGUGAUCUCUCUCUUACCUUAUCCCAGCACAUGGACCCUCCAUUAUAUUUUCUCUUCUCAGUCCUGGCAUACGGCAAGGACAACCCACUAGAGGAAUAUCAUCAUACCAUAACACAUGCCACUAAUCCACUGAUACAGUUUUGUGCCCAGAUUCUAUACAUAUUAUGUUCGAACUUUUCCGGUUUUCAAAUCUGCAGUAAAACCAGUAGAAGCCAGUCUACUGCAUCAGGACAAGUUCCUUUAACAUGGUAUUGAUCAAACUUGCACUAUUUUCAACCAGUAAAAUGUUAUCACAUUGAACCUUGAACCAAUCUUGAUUUUCCAUAACUGAACAAAACAAAACUUGACGAAUCAUUGGUGCUGAAUUCCAGUAAAGAAAAGGUAAUCAGUAGAGAUCACUGAGAUUUUCAGGAACUUGUCUUUCAUCUGAAAUUGUGAGCUGGGAAGCAGAAAAAGGAUACUGCUGGAGACAAUGCAAUGGAAACUGUGAGCCCUCAUUGCUCAAGCCAAGCAUUGAAAGCUGAUGCUAUGAAUUUAUGAAGAUAAAAUGCAACCAGAAAAAUCCUCAGUAUACUCUUCCUGAUCCCAUAAAACUUGGCCCAUUGCACCACAAGAUCUAAUCUGAUAUGGUUGACAGCACUAUUUGUCCUUCAUAACAUUAAAGAAAAUAAAUCCUCAAAGAAAAAAAUAAAGCUCACAUAAAAGCAUGGUUUAAAUUUUGGGUUACUUCUCAAACACCUUUUGCUCACCCUUACUCAUCUUAGCCUGAUCAAAUGGAAAACAAAUCUCCACAGAAAUAACAGAGAUGUCUCUCUGGGCUCUCAGAUUCUUUGGAGGGGUGAAGAGGGCACUCAAAACUUUAAAGUGUUGUUUUCUGGUUCUCUUUUACCUCCUUCUCAAUAUGAAAAAGAAAUUUAAAAGAGCAUAGAAAAGGGGGUGAAGUCCUUCAAACUUGGAUGAUAAAAACUUCUGACUUUCUUAGCGAAAUGAAGAAGUUAAAAGAAUGUUCAAGACUAUUAGUGGUAGCAAACACAGGAAAAUUCAAACACAGUGGUUUCUAAAAUGGCUUAAAUAAAAACUUGCAAGUAUGUCCAGGUUUUAUAUUCAGACCUCAGAUAGGAUUCUGAGGACAUGAGAGGGGGAAUAAAUGUAAUAAGAGGGAUCAAAGGUCUUCUGCCAUAAUUUGUCCAGGAGAUAAACAAGGAUGAAAUGGAUGAAAGGAUGAAUGGUGCAUGAGGUGUGCUGUUUGGUAGUCAUAUACAUCUACAGCUGUGAAAAUGUAGGAGAUUGAGGAAGGGAUGGGGCAUUUUUCACAUGGAGUGAAUGAAAAUAGCAAAAGAAAAUGGAGAAUCUCUCAGUUGGGAGAAAUACUAGACUGUACAUUGACAAAAACCCAAUAAAGCAACUUGAAAACUAAUUGCUAGAAUAUAAGGGGCUGAGAGGACAACAGUCAGAAUUUCAAGUACCAAACAAAAAGUCAGAACCUAGACACCUGAAGGAAUAAAAAACUACUUUUGUUUUUUCUAAAGUCACCACAGCCUACACACGUGCACAGACACCUUUGCAGGAACCCACCACUGCUAGAAUAAAGCACAGUUGCAGCAGAGAGACACCUUGUUGGGUACACAGCCAGACUGAUCCUUUUCCAGGCACCACAAGUCAGAGAGGACAAAAAACAAGAUUUCUUUUUAUCCCAUGAUCCUAAUGGCUAUUUUUGUUAUUGUUCUUCAGCAACAAUGACAAAAAUAGUGGAAAACUGUACUGAACAGCAAACUAAAGCAUGCCUACAGCAAGAAGCAGCUUUUUAAACUUCCAUCUCACUAGUGCUUGUCUAUACAAAUAAUGUCACCAUGUCACUUCUUUUCCUGCAUUCUGUUACAGAAUAUUCUUCCCCCAGUUUUGUUAUUCUAUUCUAUUUCAACUUGAUGAAUUAUCUAUAUUAUAUUUUUUGAGAAAUAUUCCCUCUAGAGAUGCACAUACUUAGUUUAGAAAGUUUUCAGCAGGAUGAAAAGGGGAAGAAAAAUAGAAAUUCCCACAUCUCUACUUUUUUUAAGCUACUCCUGGGACUAGGACAUAAUUAUCUACAUUCUGCAAUUACCAGUCAACCCUUAGCUGAAGGAUGAAAAUCAGCGAUACUAAGAAGUGAUGUUUGGGCAAGUCUAGGCAGAAGGUAAAAGGAGUCUAUUAGCAAAGAGCAAGAAUGGGAAGCUGAAAUCACAAGGUGGGGGACAAGUUAAAUAGUUUCUUUGGCAGUGAGUUUGUUUUUCUACUCCUUUCUCUAUGGCUCCAAAACCACUUAUGCAUUCAGCCGAAGAUAAUAGGCUCAACAACCUUCUCUUUGUAAGUGGCACAAAAUAAGAAAAUAGCUAUCCUCAUAACAACAUUUAGCAGGAGAGUAGGUGGGUAUGCUCUGAAUUGUGUAGUAAAACAGAUUUCAUGUCUGAUAGACACCAAUUCAAGGUUAAAAUAUGUGAUUCUAUGGAUAUAGUUUUAACUUUUUCCUCAUCUCCAACAUGAGAAACAAAAUGAAAUAAAGUAUAGUAAGUCACCUUCCCUUUUUGGGUAUAGUUAUGAAAGGAUUUUAUUAUAUUACUUCAUUCCAACAGACUUUAACAAGCAUUGCUAAUAAGAGAUCUUCUCCCUUCUGCAAUGCUAAGAACCCCACAGGCCAAGCAUGCAUUGUUUGGCUUGGCUGCUUGGCUGCUUCCAAGCAGUCUAUACUUCCACAUGAGUAUAUAACCUCAUUCCUGUGGUGUCAGCCUGGAAUAGAAAUUCAAUGCUGAACAUGAAAUCUGUUCAGCUGGGUUGAUGCAGAUAUGGUUUUAUGCUCAGAGAUCUGUUUUGUCACCGUUGUAAUUUUGGACAAGGAGACCUCUAGACUUUUUUUUUUUUUUUUUUUUAAAUUAAAACCAAAACAACAGCAAAAAAAAAGUAUUUUGGGAACAUAAGUUCUAUCAGCUGAGUUAGGUUUCAAAUAAGCUUGUAAUUAAUAAUAUCUGUUCUGCUACUGUGAAAAUCUUUAUCGUCUUAAACAGCCCAUGAGGAACUGUAAGCCAGCAAUGCCAUGUAGGAAAAUAGUGGUAUAAAACCUUGUACUUACCCUUUCUUCAUAUUUGGUUGCUUUAUUUCUGUUGACUACUAAUUGGUUUUUAAGAAUUUUAAAUACUUAAAAUUCAAGAAUGCUUAUUUGUUUAGAAUUAGGAAAUAUCUUCCUGUGCAUUCAGUUAGAAUGUAAAGCAUUUUGCAAAAAUCUUCACAAUUAAGCAUAUACCACAAAAACUUUACGUGCUUAGUGCUGUUUUCUUUCUUUCCUUUUUGGAGAUAUGGCUCGUUGCUGUUUUGUUAUGUAGAGGAAAUGAUCCACCUAGAGAGCCUGGUAAGUUUUCCAUUGUUAAGCAAGUGUCCAAGGCUUAAAUUGCACACUGCAACAACAGGUCUUAUUGAAGACACAUUAUGGCAAGUUCUAGACUUAUAGUCCAGCUAUAAUUUUGUCACAUCACUUGUUUUAGGACAUUUCCCUCAUAGAGAAAUUUCAUGGUUUUGGUUCACCAUGGAUUUGGGACUUAUGGGUGUAGUUAUGAAGUGGUUACAUGUUCUUGUUUCCCAGUUGCUGCUUGGCUACAAUAAAAAGAAGAAAGACACCACUUCUCUAGUGAUUUUUCCUUUUAAAAAAAAGGAGAGAGUAGGGAGGUUCACUAUUGCCUCAUACCUAGGGCAUGUAUAUUGCUUCUUUCAACUUGUAGGUACAGGUCAUUUGUAUGAUAUUACAAUGGAGGCAAAGAGGUUGACAGUGGGGGAAAACACUUUCUCUUCAGGAGGUAUGUCUUCAAUUUUCAUUGCCCAGCGCAUGCAAAGACAGUUAAACAAAAAGAGAAAGCAGUUAGCCAAAUUUUAAAAAGCAUGUUUAUGCUAAGUAUUACAUCUGUUUCCUGAGCAUGUAAUACUCACUAGUUUCUUUGCAUGGAGGGGAGGAGGUUAUACAUUUUGGAAAAGGUUCAUACAUCAGCAUCAGAAUCCAUUAUCACAUUUACACGAGUUUUCACAUAUAUUCUCUUGGGAUGAAAAAUUAUUACACUAUUUAAUGUGCUUAGCCUUUGUUGCUUUAAAAGAUUAUCAUAUUUUUAGCUGACAGUUUCAUUACAUAUAAUCUUGACACUUCUCAUCUAAGUUUCACAGAGGGGAAAAAGAAAGUCUGAAGGUGUCUUGCAAAUAGUUUUGUUUCUUUUUUUUCCAGCUGGAUGUCUUGUUACAGAUAAGAAAUCAAAUUUUGUUUUACCCAUGAUUGGAAUGAGUCUGUUCUUAGGCUCUUCAGGCUACUCACUUCUGUACUGACAGUCUUUACAUUUACACCAUUCCCCUCAAAAUGAAAGACAUUAAGUCUUGCAACCACUUGGAAAGAAUCAUGAAACAUCACUAUACACAGAGUCAUUAUUUUAAUUACAAGAAGCCAAAAGGAAAAACAGUGAUGGUGGACUAGCCUAGAGGUAGAGCAUUUGCCUAGAUUGUCAGGUACUCAAAUGAAUUGGCAGCUGUAGGCUUUCUCAAGGAGGCUGUCUCUUCUCUAAGGCCACCUUUACUCACCUGGAUAGGGGUAGUAGGGGAAAUCAGACUGGAACUUUAAAGACUCAGAGUAAAGGAGGAGGAUCCAGUCCAUUCUUAGGGGAGGCUCCACACCUUUAAAAUUCAUACUUUCCUUGUACCUUGAAACAGCCUGGUUCUGAUGGCCUCCAGAUCAUAUUGCAUAGCACUAUUUUUUUCAGAACUUGGUACAUCGUAGAAUGGGUGAGAUGAAAAAUGGUCAAAUGAAUUAUUUUUCAGCAGGAGUGACUUUCAGUUCUGCACUUAUGAAAAAUUCUAUAUGAUGUCAAAAGAUCUGGGUUAAAAUGAGUGUUUACUGUUUCAAAAAUCUAAGCAAAUACAUAAAUUUAGACAAUAUAAUGAACUGCAGCUUUCAAAAUAAUUGUACAAUGUUAAAGUUACAUAUAUAUUUUGAGUAAUGACCAUCUCACUAAAAUCUGAACAAUGGUCAGGUAAUGACUGUUCCACAAGGCUGCAUUGAAAGAGCAGAAAUUUAAAAAAAAAAAAUUGUAUUUACAGAUUCUUAAAAUGUAUUUUUUAAGUGUAAUCAUCUUAGCAACACAUUUCACAAACAAGAAGACACAAACAUAAAUUGCUUUACAUACAGGGCACUUUUCUGUAGUCUGAUUUCUCAACUGUUUUUUGGCCAAAAGAAGCUACAGGCACUAACUUUAUGAAUUUCAUGAGAACCAUUAAAAGGUACUUCCAGUUAAUAAAGGUGCUAGAUCAGGAUAAUUUAGAAUCUUUCUAUCUUCUAGAGGUCUCUGAAUGAUGUUCAAGAAUGUAGUACAAUUUUAAAGAAGCUAAGGUAUUACUGUCUUGCAUAACCAAAUCUGUCCCUCCCGACCCUAUAUUCAGCAGCAACAUCUGUUCUCUUUUGACCUGUGAUAAGGUAAUAAUAUCAGGGUGGCCUGUGCUGGGUGAAAUGAUCCCAGUUUUGUAGAAAAGUAAUUUUUCUCAAGAAACAAUGCUGCAUACUUAAAAUACACAGAGUAUAUAAACCAAAGUUAAUUGGGCACAUAAUGACUCUUGAGUCAUAAGGUUAAGUAUUGAAAAACAAGUAGAUAAAGAAAUCCCAUACACCACCACCAUGUUGUAACUGAGGUAAUACACUGCUCAGCUUUCCUUCAGAGAGAAAUAAGUUUUAGGGAGUGAAGCAAAGCAAAUCAUGCAAUACCUUAACUGAAACAGUAGUCAUUGUAUUAAUUUGAAAGAAAUACUAUAUCAGGUAAGUCCUUCUAAUCUUGUAAGAAUCUAUUUUAGGACUAUUUUACAACUAGAGACUGCAGAGGCUACUUCUGUCUGUAGCUAUAUUUCAAGAACUAGAUAUUCUGAAUGCUGGGUCACAGUUUAGUGCUGGUAAGUCUGGGCCUCACAGUUUCGCAGGGGUUUUGCCUGUCAAUUGAUGUUUACCUGCAAUAUUUAAAUCUUUAUACACUACCCAAACAGUCAAACAAGUCCUGUCUAUUCUAUUAGAUUUAUUUAUUUUUCCAAGAUGCUUGCAUUUUACCUUUCUUCUGCGUUAGCCAUUAUUUUGAUUUGAAACUGAAAGCUAUUCUUUAAAUACAGAAAAAUUCUGCUGCUUCCUAGUAAUAUAAAUUUAGAUUGCCAUUCAUUUUAUUUAGGAAGUAUUGCUGGUAUGCAUUUUUUAAACAUUCAGAAAUCUAAAACCUCUUAUCAGAGAUUAAGACAAAUGAUCACAGAUAUCUCAUUUUGCCUAUCUUUCAUCUAGGAAUGAAUGCUCUUGCUCAGUUUGAAACAGAAAACUAUGCUACUAAUGAAUUUUCUUGUCAAAUAAAACAAUACAAUAAUUGUCAUAAAUUCAACUACUAGAAUAAUGAACAUUCCUUCAUAACAAUCAAACCCAAGAAUUUUGUAGGAGGGAGACAAAAGAAUUGCUGGAAUCAUUCCAGGAUUAAAAUUAUUUUAUUACACACAUGCAAAUGAUGGUUAUGAAAAGCUCACUAACCCUGAAAAUUUAAGCAAGAAUCCUUUCUAGACCCCUAAGAUAGAUUUUUGAGGGCUAUAGACUGUUAAAUACUUUAGUAAUAAAUGACUGCUUGUAUCUGUCACCUUCCCUUCUCUGCAGAGUAUAUUUAUGCAACUUGACACAGGGUGAUGUAUGUAUUAUAUUCUAGAAAUGUGGGUAUGUGUUCUACUGCCUAAAUGUGAAAAAAAAUCCAAACAGCCCUUGCCUUGCAGAUGUAAGCAGACAUUUCACAUGACAUGGCAGGAGAUGCUGUCUUUGCUGCAAAGUACAGAAAAUAAAA